rnacentral:misc_RNA from 1 species
UUUCCGUAGGUGAACCUGCGGAAGGAUCAUUCAUAGUAAAGUGUUUUAUGGCACUUUUUAAAAAUCCAUAUCCACCUUGUGUGCAAUGUUAGAUCUCGUCAAUCUUGGCGAGAUUUUUAUACAUCAACUCAUUUUUUAACUAAUUUGUCUGAAAGAUAUUAUGAAUACUUAAUUCAAAAUACAACUUUCAACAACGGAUCUCUUGGCUCUCGCAUCAUGAAGAACGCAGC